CCUACGGGAGGCUGCAGUGGGGAAUAUUGCACAAUGGGCGCAAGCCUGAUGCAGCCAUGCCGCGUGUGUGAAGAAGGCCUUUGGGUUGUAAAGCACUUUCAGCGGGGAGGAAGGCGGUGAGGUUAAUAACCUCAUCGAUUGACGUUACCCGCAGAAGAAGCACCGGCUAACUCCGUGCCAGCAGCCGCGGUAAUACGGAGGGUGCAAGCGUUAAUCGGAAUUACUGGGCGCAAAGCGCACGCAGGCGGUCUGUCAAGUCGGAUGUGAAAUCCCCGGGCUCAACCUGGGAACUGCAUUCGAGACUGGCAGGCUAGAGUCUUGUAGAGGGGGGUAGAAUUCCAGGUGUAGCGGUGAAAUGCGUAGAGAUCUGGAGGAAUACCGGUGGCGAAGGCGGCCCCCUGGACAAAGACUGACGCUCAGGUGCGAAAGCGUGGGGAGCAAACAGGAUUAGAUACCCGAGUAGUC
rnacentral:rRNA from 1 species